CCGAGGGGCUGGCGAACACCCGCUCCAAGGUGUACUUCUCCCCGCGGCUCUGCUACCUGAGGGUGCACAUCAUCGAGGCCCAGGACCUCGUCCCCGCCGACAAGAGCCGCCCGCCGGAGCCCUACCUGAAGAUGCAGCUGGGAAACCAGCUGCGCCGCACGCGGCCCUCGCCGGCGCGCUCCGUCAACGCCGUCUGGAACGAGGAGCACAUGUUCAUCGCCGCCGAGCCCUUCGACGAGCCGCUGGUGAUCACCGUCGAAGACCGGCUCGCCGGCGGCAAGGAGGAGACCAUCGGGAAGCUGGUGGUGCCACUGGAGCUCGCCCAGAAGCGGUUCGACCACAAGGUCUUCGAGCCCAAGUGGUUCAGCCUGGACAAGGCCUCCUCCUCCGGGGACGGGGAGAAGAAGGACGAGGCCAAGUUCGCCAGCAAGAUCCUGCUCCGGCUGUACCUGGACAUGGGGUACCACGUGCUGGACGAGUCGACCCACUACAGCAGCGACUUCCGUCCGUACUACCGGAACCUGUGGAAGCAGUCCGUGGGGGUCCUGGAGGUGGGCAUCAUCGGCGCCCGCAACCUCGCGCCCAUGAAGGCCAAGGACGGAAGCAACCGCACCACCGACGCCUACUGCGUCGCCAAGUACGGGCCCAAGUGGGUCCGCACCCGCACCCUGCUGGACACGGCGACGCCGAGCUGGAACGAGCAGUACACGUGGGAGGUCUACGACCCCUGCACCGUCAUCACCGUGGGGGUCUUCGACAACUGCCAAGUCGGCGGCGGCAAGGAGGGCGAGGCCCCUGACCAGCGCAUCGGGAAGGUGCGCAUCCGGCUGUCCACCCUGGAGGCGAACCGGGUGUACACCCACUACCACCCGCUGCUGGUGCUGCAGUCCUCCGGGCUCAAGAAGGCCGGCGAGCUCCACCUGGCCAUCCGCUUCACCUGCACGGCGUG
rnacentral:lncRNA from 1 species